rnacentral:rRNA from 1 species
CAGAUUGAACGCUGGCGGCAGGCUUAACACAUGCAAGUCGAGCGGAGAGAGGUAGCUUGCUACUGAUCUUAGCGGCGGACGGGUGAGUAAUGCUUAGGAAUCUGCCUAUUAGUGGGGGACAACAUUUCGAAAGGAAUGCUAAUACCGCAUACGUCCUACGGGAGAAAGCAGGGGAUCUUCGGACCUUGCGCUAAUAGAUGAGCCUAAGUCGGAUUAGCUAGUUGGUGGGGUAAAGGCCUACCAAGGCGACGAUCUGUAGCGGGUCUGAGAGGAUGAUCCGCCACACUGGGACUGAGACACGGCCCAGACUCCUACGGGAGGCAGCAGUGGGGAAUAUUGGACAAUGGGCGCAAGCCUGAUCCAGCCAUGCCGCGUGUGUGAAGAAGGCCUUAUGGUUGUAAAGCACUUUAAGCGAGGAGGAGGCUACUUUAGUUAAUACCUAGAGAUAGUGGACGUUACUCGCAGAAUAAGCACCGGCUAACUCUGUGCCAGCAGCCGCGGUAAUACAGAGGGUGCAAGCGUUAAUCGGAUUUACUGGGCGUAAAGCGCGCGUAGGCGGCUAAUUAAGUCAAAUGUGAAAUCCCCGAGCUUAACUUGGGAAUUGCAUUCGAUACUGGUUAGCUAGAGUGUGGGAGAGGAUGGUAGAAUUCCAGGUGUAGCGGUGAAAUGCGUAGAGAUCUGGAGGAAUACCGAUGGCGAAGGCAGCCAUCUGGCCUAACACUGACGCUGAGGUGCGAAAGCAUGGGGAGCAAACAGGAUUAGAUACCCUGGUAGUCCAUGCCGUAAACGAUGUCUACUAGCCGUUGGGGCCUUUGAGGCUUUAGUGGCGCAGCUAACGCGAUAAGUAGACCGCCUGGGGAGUACGGUCGCAAGACUAAAACUCAAAUGAAUUGACGGGGGCCCGCACAAGCGGUGGAGCAUGUGGUUUAAUUCGAUGCAACGCGAAGAACCUUACCUGGCCUUGACAUAGUAAGAACUUUCCAGAGAUGGAUUGGUGCCUUCGGGAACUUACAUACAGGUGCUGCAUGGCUGUCGUCAGCUCGUGUCGUGAGAUGUUGGGUUAAGUCCCGCAACGAGCGCAACCCUUUUCCUUAUUUGCCAGCGAGUAAUGUCGGGAACUUUAAGGAUACUGCCAGUGACAAACUGGAGGAAGGCGGGGACGACGUCAAGUCAUCAUGGCCCUUACGGCCAGGGCUACACACGUGCUACAAUGGUCGGUACAAAGGGUUGCUACCUAGCGAUAGGAUGCUAAU